UACGGGGGGAGCAAGCGUUGUUCGGAUUUACUGGGCGUAAAGGGCGCGUAGGCGGCGCAACAAGUCACUUGUGAAAUCUCCGGGCUUAACUCGGAGCGGUCAAGUGAUACUGUCGUGCUAGAGUGCGGAAGGGGCUACUGGAAUUCUCGGUGUAGCGGUGAAAUGCGUAGAUAUCGAGAGGAAUACCUGCGGCGAAGGCGGGUAGCUGGGCCGACACUGACGCUGAUGCGCGAAAGCCAGGGGAGCGAACGGG
rnacentral:rRNA from 1 species